AGGAGUCAUUGUGCGGUGCUAACAGAUUAUCUCUAUAUCUCAAUAAUUAUUAUUAUAAUCAAUAAAUUAUUUUUAUUUUAAUUAAACUGUUUCUAUAGUUUUCAAUUGAUUCAAUUCAUCAUAGAAUUCAGUGCAACAUUAACUAUUAUUACAACAAUAAUAAUUGGAUUGUUCUAUAGAAUAUUACAAUACUUUUUAAAUAAAUUACAUAUGUAUAAUAAGAUCAAAGGAAUCACGGAUCCAAAAGUAUAUCCAACUGUUGGAAAUACUCAUUAAUUUGUCAGCAAUAACAAAGCUUUAUUCAACCAAAUUCUAAAUCUUGAUAAGAUUUUUUCUUAAGACUAAAUAGUCGAAUCAUUACUUAUUAGAGCGAAGUUGAAAUAGUCGAAGCAUUAGUGAUAAGAGCGAAGAAUAUGAAAACCUGAAACCUGCUGUAGGCAAUGGUGGGUUGUUAACUGCUCCAGCAUCAGGAAUCCUCAUCGAAAAUUAUUAAGUGAUGUCCUUUUUAAAAUAUAUGUAAAGUCGCAUAUGGAUGUAUUGGUUAAUCAUUUUCAUCUCUUUAAUGAGAAAAUUGGAAAUUUUGGUUAGAAAAGAAUUAAAUGUUUGCCAUUACGUUUUUUCCUGUACAUUGGACAUAUUAUAAAGUAGAAUUCAGAAAAUUUUGAACGUUUAUAAAUUUUAUACACACUUGUAUGAAUUUAUUAUAA